GAUGAACGCUGGCGGCGUGCUUAAUACAUGCAAGUCGAGCGAACAGACGCGGAGCUUGCUCCUCUGACGUUAGCGGCGGACGGGUGAGUAACACGUGGAUACCCUCCCUAUAAGACUGGGAUAACUUCGGGAAACCGGCGCUAAUCCCGGAUGAUAUAUUGAACCGCAUGGUUGAAUAGUGAGAGACGGCUUUGCUGGCAGUUCUAGAUGGAUCCCCGCCGCAUUAGCUGGUUGGUGAGGUAACGGCCUACCAAGGCAACGCUGCGUGGCCGACCUGAGUGGGUGGUCGGCCACCCUGGAGCUGGGACGCGGUCCAGGCUCCUGCGGGAGGCAGCAGUAGGGAAUCUGCCGCAGUGGGCGGAAGCCUUGCGGAGCGGGGCCGCGUGAGUGGUGGAGGUCUUCGGAUCGGAAAACUCUGUUAUUGGGGAAGAACAAAUUUGGAAGUAACUAUGCACGUCUUGACGGUACCUAAUCAGAAAGCCACGGCUAACUACGUG
rnacentral:rRNA from 1 species